AUUGAACGCUGGCGGCAGGCCUAACACAUGCAAGUCGAACGCGUGGCGGACGGGUGAGUAAUGUCUGGGAAACUGCCCGAUGGAGGGGGAUAAAUACUGGAAAAGGUAGCUAAUACCGCAUACCAUCGGAUGUGCCCAGAUGGGAUUAGCUAGUAGGUGGGGUAACGGCUCACCUAGGCGACGAUCCCUAGCUGGUCUGAGAGGAUGACCAGCAACACUGGAACUGAGAAACGGUCCAGACUCCUACGGUAGGCAGCAGUGGGGAAGAUUGAACAAUGGGCGCAAGCCUGAUGCAGCCAUGCCGCGUGUGUGAAGAAGGCCUUCGGGUUGUAAAGCACUUUCAGCGGGGAGGCGUUACCCGCAGAAGAAGCACCGGCUAACGCCGUGCCAGCAGCCGCGGUAAUAC
rnacentral:rRNA from 1 species